UCAUAAUCAUAAAUUAAUAAAAAAAAUACAGCUGUUAUGUAAUUAAUAAAUAAAUAAAAAUAAAAAAUAAUUAAUAGGUUCUCUCUCUUGAAACCCUAUUAUCAUUUUGCUAAAAAAGAGGAGCUAAAUAUACGCUAUCUCUCUUUCUUCCCCCUCUCAUUGCUGCUCUUUCUUCUUCUUGCGCAGGGUGACCAUUCAAUGGUGUGGGGUUAGAUUUUCUUGACUCUUCGAGCUCCAAUGGUAAUGGCUGAUUUCUCUAAGUAAAGAGGCAAUGGUGGUUUUUUAAUUCUCUUUGUUCAUGCUUCGCAACAUAUACCUUGGAGUUUCAUAUCGUUUUCUCUGUCGAAUAAGUCGCUGAGAUCGAUUUCCUCAAGCGCCCAAUCUAUUUCGAAAUCAACAUGGUUUUCUUAGCAGAUUCAAAAUUAACACCCAUAUUCGAAAUCAAUUUCCUCACCUAACCUGUUUGAAGACCCAUUUUCCUUUUCAAUCUUUCGUUCCCCAUCUCCCGAAACUCCAUUCGGCCGGUCAUCGUCUCCGCUUCGUCUCUCCAAUGCAGGUCUUUACAAUUGCAUUUUAAUAGAGUGGUCUUGAAUUCAGACUUCCCAAGCAAAGGUGGUAUUUCAAUUGUGUGAUACAUAUUUUCCAUUUGGCAAGAGGAUGCUAGAGCCAAGGCAGCAGCUAGUUUGUUGUAUUUAUGUUUGUAAAUUCUUUUUCCUAGUUUGUUAAUGUUGAUUUUAGGUGAAAAAAUGGUGGAUCAAAAUUGUUGGUAAAUCAUUUGCACUAUGUUUGUUUUUGUAAUUUCAAAUAGUGUAAUUUGGAUCUUGUGUAAGUUUUGAAUUUGUCUUUAAUUAAUUUUGAUUAAAGUUUUUAAUUUAUUUUAUUUACUGUA